CACGUAGGGGGCGAGCGUUGUCCGGAAUCAUUGGGCGUAAAGAGCUCGUAGGCGGCUCGGUAAGUCGGGUGUGAAACCCCCAGGCUCAACCUGGGGACGCCACCCGAUACUGCUGUGGCUAGAGUCCAGUAGGGGAGUGUGGAAUUCCCGGUGUAGCGGUGAAAUGCGCAGAUAUCGGGAGGAACACCAGCGGCGAAGGCGGCACUCUGGGCUGGAACUGGCGCUGAGGAGCGAAAGCGUGGGUAGCAAACAGG
rnacentral:rRNA from 1 species